GCCCCAGUUGCCUAAUGGAUAAGGCACUGGCAUCCUAAGCCAUGGAUUGCAAGAUCAAGUCAUAUCUGGGGUG
rnacentral:tRNA from 1 species